rnacentral:rRNA from 1 species
CCUACGGGAGGCAGCAGUGAGGAAUAUUGGUCAAUGGGCGGAAGCCUGAACCAGCCAAGUAGCGUGCGGGAUGAAGGCCCUACGGGUCGUAAACCGCUUUUGCACGGGGAUAACACCCUUUACUUGUCGAGGUCUCCAUGUACCGUGCGAAUAAGGGCCGGCCAAUUCCGUACCAGCAGCCGCGGUACGACGGAAGGACCGGGCGUUAUCCGGAUUUAUUGGGGUUACGGGGAGCGUAGGCGGCGGUUAAAGGCGGCUGGAAACUCUCGGGACCAACCCCGGCCCGGCAGUUGAAACUGGCGGGCUUGAGUUCGCGAAAGGCAGGCGGAAUUCGUGGUGUAGCGGGGAAAUGCAUAGAUAUGACGAAGAACCCCGAUUGCGAAGGCAGCCUGCGGGAGUGCAACUGACGCUGAGGCUCGAAGGUGCGGGUAUCGAACAGGAUUAGAUACCCGUGUAGUC